UACAAGCUGAGGUACAGUUCCUAAAUAAUGCUGAUAAUGUCAUCUCUAAGAAGAGAUUGUUGGAGUGAAGUUCCUAGGGCCUCUGAUGCUUGAUGAUUUCCAGCUUUAGCUCAUCUACUCACUGGCCCAUGGUCUUAGAGUCUAAGGUUUCCUGCAACCUCACUGGGCAUUUUCAGAAUGAUCUGUACAAGCGUUGACUGAAUGAUUGAUUCCAAGUUCCCCCUUCCUAGGAUUUCAGACCUCCUCUUGACAAGUGAUGAAUGGGCCAUCUUAAUCUUGUUUGGAUCAGAAAGGACCAUACAACUGAGCUUCAGACAAGACUAAAAAUAUCAAAAGUAGCACUCUGCAAUUUUAUGUGCAUGUGGCUUGAAGCUCUGACACCAACACAACAGACAUUCAACAGCUCCUGCUUGAGCAGCACCACUGUGCCAGGCUCUGGCAACAUUGAAGAUAAAGGAUGUGUCUCUGUCCUCAAAAGGAUCGAUUCCAGCAGGGAGAACCUACAUGUGAAUAAGUCACUCCAUGCAAGGUGUAGCUGGGAUUACAGGUGUGCACCAGCACUCAGCGACACACGGUGCUGCAGAAACCCUAAGAUUUAACUCCAACUUCUGGAGAAGAGCUCACUGCAAGACAGAUGAGAAAGAGGUUGUUUUAAGAUGAAGAAAAGGAAUGAUACUUGAUUCAUCAUCUUAUACAUGAUUCACAAGAAAAAUAUAAUGUCUUUAUUUUUCAGAGGGUUUUUUAAAAUUAAGAGAUGGGAUCUUGCUACGUUGCCCAGGCUGUAGUGCUGUGGCUA
rnacentral:lncRNA from 1 species